rnacentral:ncRNA from 1 species
UGCUUCCGGACAUCGACGGGUUCCUCCCGCGUCGGCGGGAGGAUGAAAAGGGAAGCCGGUGAGAAUCCGGCGCAGGGCCGCUGCUGUAUUCGGCGAGAGACCCGGCCACAUAGCCACUGCGACGCGUGCGUCGCGGGAAGGCCGCUCGGGGAUCGAUCGUAGCCGUAAGUCAGAAGACCUGCCCGUCGUGCGACGCCAAU